rnacentral:rRNA from 1 species
GAUCAUGGCUCAGGAUGAACGCUAGCGACAGGCUUAACACAUGCAAGUCGAGGGGCAGCAUGAUUUGUAGCAAUACAGAUUGAUGGCGACCGGCGCACGGGUGAGUAACGCGUAUGCAACUUACCUAUCAGAGGGGGAUAGCCCGGCGAAAAGUCGGAUUAAUACCCCAUAAAACAGGGGUCCCGCAUGGGAAUAUUUGUUAAAGAUUCAUCGCUGAUAGAUAGGCAUGGCG